GCCACCAUAGCUCAGUCAGUAGAGCAUUCGACUAGAUAGCGAAAGGCCCCCAGUUCAAGCCUGGGUGGAGGCA
rnacentral:tRNA from 1 species